UACUCCCUCCGUCCCAAAAUAAGUCAAUCCCGUACUAGUAUAUGACACUUCCUAGUACGAGGUUGGUUUAUUUUGGGACGGAGAGAGUAG
rfam:Oryza glaberrima chromosome 10 Oglab10_0117_16, whole genome shotgun sequence.